rnacentral:rRNA from 1 species
GGACGGGUGAGUAACACGUGGAUAACCUGCCCUCGGCACCGGAAUAGCCCGGGGAAACCCGGAUUAAUGCCGGAUAGCCCCACAUCCCUGCGGGGAACGUGGGAAAAGGUAGCUUCGGCCUCUGGCCGAGGAUGGGUCCGCGGUGGAUUAGCUUGUUGGCGGGGUAACGGCCCACCAAGGCGACGAUCCAUAGCUGGUCUGAGAGGACGAUCAGCCACACUGGGACUGAGACACGGCCCAGACUCCUACGGGAGGCAGCA